rnacentral:rRNA from 1 species
GAUGAACGCUGGCGGCGUGCCUAAUACAUGCAAGUCGAGCGAACAGACGAGGAGCUUGCUCCUCUGACGUUAGCGGCGGACGGGUGAGUAACACGUGGAUAACCUACCUAUAAGACUGGGAUAACUUCGGGAAACCGGAGCUAAUACCGGAUAACAUGUUGAACCGCAUGGUUCAACAGUGAAAGACGGUCUUGCUGUCACUUAUAGAUGGAUCCGCGCCGCAUUAGCUGGUUGGUAAGGUAACGGCUUACCAAGGCAACGAUGCGUAGCCGACCUGAGAGGGUGAUCGGCCACACUGGAACUGAGACACGGUCCAGACUCCUACGGGAGGCAGCAGUAGGGAAUCUUGCGCGAUGGGCGAAAGCCUGACGGAGCAACGCCGCGUGAGUGAAGAAGGUCUUCGGAUCGUAAAACUCUGUUAUUAGGGAAGAACAAAUGUGUAAGUAACUAUGCACGUCUUGACGGUACCUAAUCAGAAAGCCACGGCUAACUACGUG